GUAAUUAAGUGCAUGUGGUGGAUGCCUUGGCAGUCAGAGGCGAUGAAAGACGUGAUAGCCUGCGAAAAGCUCCGGGGAGGCGGCAAAUAUCCUUUGAUCCGGAGAUGUCUGAAUGGGGGAACCCACCUACUUUAAGGUAGGUAUUGCAACAUGAAUACAUAGUGUUGCAAGGCGAACGAGGGGAAGUGAAACAUCUCAGUACCCUUAGGAAAAGAAAUCAAUUGAGAUUCCCUCAGUAGCGGCGAGCGAACGGGGAUCAGCCCAUUAAGUUAUGUGUGUUUUAGUGGAACGCUCUGGGAAGUGCGAACGUAGAGGGUGAUAUUCCCGUACACGAAAGGGCACACAUAAUGAUGACGAGUAGGGCGAGGCACGUGAAACCUUGUCUGAAUAUGGGGGGACCAUCCUCCAAGGCUAAAUACUCCUGACUGACCGAUAGUGAACCAGUACCGUGAGGGAAAGGCGAAAAGAACCCCUGUGAGGGGAGUGAAAUAGAUCCUGAAACCGCAUGCAUACAAGCAGUGGGAGCACCUUCGUGGUGUGACUGCGUACCUUUUGUAUAAUGGGUCAGCGACUUAUAUUCAGUAGCGAGGUUAACCGUAUAGGGGAGCCGUAGAGAAAUCGAGUCUUAAUAGGGCGUUUAGUUGCUGGGUAUAGACCCGAAACCAGGCGAUCUAUCCAUGAGCAGGUUGAAGGUUGGGUAACACUAACUGGAGGACCGAACCCACUGUCGUUGAAAAGCCAGGGGAUGACUUGUGGAUAGGGGUGAAAGGCUAAUCAAGCCUGGUGAUAGCUGGUUCUCCCCGAAAGCUAUUUAGGUAGCGCCUCGGACGAAUACCAUAGGGGGUAGAGCACUGUUUCGGCUAGGGGGUCAUCCCGACUUACCAAACCGAUGCAAACUCCGAAUACCUAUGAGUACUAUCCGGGAGACAGACUGCGGGUGCUAACGUCCGUAGUCAAGAGGAAAACAAUCCAGACCGCCAGCUAAGGCCCCAAAAUCAUAGUUAAGUGGGAAACGAUGUGGGAAGGCAUAGACAGCUAGGAGGUUGGCUUAGAAGCAGCCACCCUUUAAAGAAAGCGUAAUAGCUCACUAGUCGAGUCGGCCUGCGCGGAAGAUGUAACGGGGCUAAAACUAUGUGCCGAAGCUGCGGAUGUAUACUUUGUAUACGUGGUAGGGGAGCGUUCUGUAAGCCGAUGAAGGUGUGUUGAGAAGCAUGCUGGAGGUAUCAGAAGUGC
rnacentral:rRNA from 1 species